AAAGAGCAGACGUCUGGACUUGUACAGACUUGAUCCCUCACAGCUUUACAGUUGGAGUGCGCUUCAAGACUGGGAGUGACAGGAGUCUGCCCUGACUGUGCCUGGACAGGUCAGAUGUUUGGGAUGUAGCAGAUGAAUAGUGCGUUUGCCCUUUACUGCUUCUCCACAAAAACCUGCUUUGGGUUUGGAGGUCGGAUUAUCGUCCUUAUGAAAUAGUCAAACAGCCUCGCCAUGUACCAGAAGAAUAUAAACCAAAGCAGGGUGAGAUUGAUCUUGGCACUACCUACAAACGGGAUUUUAAUUCUUAUAAAGUACAGCCUGUGGCAAUAGUCCGGCCUUUGGAGAGACAACAAGUUAAAAAAGGAACGUUGGACACGGUCCCAACCUAUAAAGGUAAUAGCUGAAUGCAUACUUUUUCUUCAGCUGUCAUCCUUACCAGUUAAGUGGGUAAGUAAAAUAUAUAAGAAAAUAUAAUAAAGAAAGAAUGUUCUUUGUGGUGUUUAAAGCUGUGAGUAUAUAAGAUACUACACAAGGAACAGAUUUUGAAGAUAAUGCAUAUAGUGAGCAAGCAUAUUGUUAAAACCCAACGUAGCAUAUAAUAAUUGUUAAGAUAUAUGUUUAUUGGUAUGCAAAGGAUAUAAUGUAUUGCAUAAUAAUUUGACAUAAAAGAUAGAUGAAAAUGACUGUCCUGUGUCUUUUAAAUAAUCAUAGAAAAGUUUUUACUUUUUUCCUACAAGAUGUAAAAUUAUCAGUAAUAUUGAUACUCCCUGAUGCUGUGACCAUUUACAUGUAACAGACACACACACACACACCAUUAGUUCUGGCUUCUCAUUACCUGGCUUCCCCUGAAUCCCAUACUUGCACUCCCACAAUCCAAUGCGGAGGAUUCCUGGUCCCCUCAGGCCUUCUUGCUCCUGACGUCUCCUAGAAGGAAAGGUUAUUCUUGUGUUUCCAGGUCUGCAGGGCAUGAGACAACCAACGCUAAGGGCCAAGGCAGUACCUAUUGUUCUCUGUGAAGAUUACACCGCAGGUUUUGUACAUGCCGCCUCAAGGACAGGUCUGUAGCUGAACAGGAAUUACAGUGGGAGGAGACUCUCACUGUUCACUAGAAUUAAAGAGCAGAGGCGGGCAGAAAGGGACUGAUAAAGAAAAGACCUGCAAGAUGGUCAGAAGGGGGACAUUGAGAUUCGGAAGGUAUGGUUCUAUGAAAAUGGCGACUCUUAGACAUGUGUCUGUCUCCAGCAGCCUCAGUUCAGAAAUUCAUUCAUAUUAAAAUACAGCUAUUGAAAACAGGUCAGGAUUUGACCUGAUGAAUAUGUUUCAGGGAUUACUGUGCCCUGUGCAAGGCACGGUAGGGAACACAGAGGUCUGCAUUCAGCAUGGCUCUUGACAUUUAGGAACUUUACAGUUGAGUUGAGAAAAGGAGUAAUAAAGCAUGAAAAAUUAAAUAGCCAUACUGGAAAUAAAUAAUGUAUCACAAGAAGGGGAUAAUGCACUAGAAAAUUAAUGGAACAAUUAGUUCUUCAAAAAUUGAGACUGAAAAAAUUAUUACUUCAGACUAGCUUGGGAAUAUAUUAGAGACUAGUAUUCAUAUAUAGAAAGAGGAAGGACAUCCUAAAAACUAGAAUGAAAUGAGAAAAAAAACAGAGCCAGAAAAAUAAACAUGGUGGAAACACAGGAUUUUAGGAUCUGAGACACUGGGGUAUAAUUCCAUAAAUGUAAGUGAGAUCAGAUUGUGAGGCCUUGAUUGCCAAUUUGAGGCACUCAGCAUUUUUCUUGUAGCCACAAAAUUUUUUGAG